GACGGAGGGCGCAAGCGUUGUUCGGAAUUACUGGGCGUAAAGCGCGGGCAGGUGGCCCGUUAAGUCUGCGGUGAAAUCCCGGGGCUCAACUCCGGAUAUGCCGCGGAUACUGGCGGGCUAGAGACUGGUAGAGGCGAGUGGAAUUCCAGGUGUAGCGGUGGAAUGCGUAGAUAUCUGGAAGAACACCAAAGGCGAAGGCAGCGUCCUGGGAAGUCACUGACGCUCAUGGUGC
rnacentral:rRNA from 1 species